rnacentral:lncRNA from 1 species
UGCUCCACCUAUGGUACCGUGCUUCCAGUCCUCGUAGGGCAGAAGGUGCUUCACGUACAACUGCCGCAUGCCGUAAGCCAUGCUCGUUUGUCCCUUCUCGUUGAUCUACAAGGAGGAACAUGAUGAUAGCGUACGCCAGGUUAGAAGCCCCCGUGCCCUCCGGCACCCCUGAACCAAGCCCCACCCCAAAGGUCAGGCAACGGGAGCAGCGCGCACCUGCAACACUUUUGCAACUUCUCUCCACUUCUUUUGCUCAGUAAUCGAUUCAUAACCACCUCGCCGUUUCACCGCACGAUACAGGACGAAGAUAUCGAUGUCCUUGCCCAAGAACUGCGGAUACUUCCAUUUGCAUAGCUGCUUGCCCUGGGAAUGCAGGAAACGAUCAUAAUCCUCGU